rnacentral:rRNA from 1 species
GAAUUCGCCCUUAGAGUUUGAUCCUGGCUCAGGACGAACGCUGGCGGCGUGCCUAACACAUGCAAGUUGAGCGGAGAUAUAUGGAGCUUGCUUUAUAUAACUUAGCAGCGAACGGGUGAGUAACACGUAGAUAAUCUAUCCUAUACUGGGGGAUAGCCCGAUGAAAGUUGGAUUAAUACCGCAUAUAGCUAUAUAGUUGCAUGAUUAUGUAGUGAAAGAUUUAUUGGUAUAGGAGGAGUCUGCGGCACAUUAGCUAGUAGGUGAGGUAAAGGCUUACCUAGGCGACGAUGUGUAGCCGGUCUGAGAGGAUGAACGGCCACAAUGGAACUGAGACACGGUCCAUACUCCUACGGGAGGCAGCAGUGGGGAAUAUUGCACAAUGGGGGAAACCCUGAUGCAGCAACGCCGCGUGAGUGAAGAAGGUUUUCGGAUUGUAAAGCUCUGUUAGCAGGGAAGAGGAAGGACGGUACCUGCAGAGGAAGCCACGGCUAACUACGUGCCAGCAGCCGCGGUAAUACGUAGGUGGCAAGCGUUGUUCGGAAUAACUGGGCGUAAAGGAUGCGUAGGCGGUUAAACAAGUUAUAUGUUAAAUAUAUAGGCUUAACCUGUAGAAAGCAUAUAAAACUGUUUAACUAGAGUGCAGGAGAGGUAAGUGGAAUUCCUAGUGUAGCGGUGAAAUGCGUAGAGAUUAGGAAGAACACCAGUGGCGAAGGCGACUUACUGGACUGUAACUGACGCUGAGGCAUGAGAGCAUGGGGAGCAAACAGGAUUAGAUACCCUGGUAGUCCAUGCUGUAAACGAUGGGUACUAGGGGUGGGGUUGUGAAUAACAAUUUCGUGCCGUCGCAAACGCAAUAAGUACUCCGCCUGAGGAGUACGAUCGCAAGAUUAAAACUCAAAGGAAUUGACGGGGACCCGCACAAGCAGCAGAGCAUGUGGUUUAAUUCGAAGCAACGCGAAGAACCUUUCCAAGCCUUGACAUCUUCCUGACAGCAUAUGUAAUGUAUGUUCCCUUCGGGGCAGGAAAGACAGGUGGUGCAUGGUUGUCGUCAGCUCGUGUCGUGAGAUGUUGGGUUAAGUCCCGCAACGAGCGCAACCCCUGUUCCCAGUAGCCAGCGCGCAGAGGCGGGCACUCUGGGGAGACUGCCGGGGACAACCCGGAGGAAGGCGGGGACGACGUCAAAUCAUCAUGCCCCUUAUGGCUUGGGCUACACACGUGCUACAAUGGCGUCGACAAAGGGAAGCGAAGCGGUGACGCGGAGCAAAUCCCAAAAACGGCGCCCCAGUUCGGAUUGUAGUCUGCAACCCGACUACAUGAAGCCGGAAUCGCUAGUAAUCGCGAAUCAGAAUGUCGCGGUGAAUACGUAGGCCGGGUCUUGCACACACCGCCCGUCA